rnacentral:lncRNA from 1 species
CCAAUUCUUCCUCUUUUUCUCACUCUUUUCCUUCCUCAACUUUCUGUUUUCUUUUUUUCUUAUUUUAUUCUUCAUUUUUGCACAUUUUUUAUUUUUCUUUUUUCUUUCAACCACUUGAAUGAUAAAGCUUCCUAGAUCUUGUAAUUUAGGAGGUAAUGUCCUCUGUUUGACUGCACUGCAAUUUCCUUGCACCUCAAUAGUUUCCUUCUUAA